rnacentral:ncRNA from 1 species
ACAGAGCCUGAACCGGGCUCCCGGACGAUGGGCGCCGUACCCGGAACGCGACAAGACGGCCCGCA